rnacentral:rRNA from 1 species
AGCGAACGUUAGCGGCGGGCCUAACACAUGCAAGUCGAGCGAGAAAGUGGCUUCGGCCAUCAGUAAAGCGGCGGACGGGUGAGUAACACGUAGGUAAUCUUCCCUUGAGCGGGGGACAACGAGCCGAAAGGCUCGCUAAUACCGCAUACGUUUCUCGGGACUCUGGUCCUGGGAAGGAAAGCUAGGCAGCAAUGUCCGGCACUCGAGGAGGAGCCGGCGUCGCAUCAGCUAGUUGGUGGGGUAACGGCCUACCAAGGCGAAGACGCGUAGCUGGUCUGAGAGGAUGAUCAGCCACACUGGGACUGAGACACGGCCCAGACUCCUACGGGAGGCAGCAGUGGGGAAUAUUGGACAAUGGGCGCAAGCCUGAUCCAGCCACGCCGCGUGAGUGAUGAAGGCCUUCGGGUCGUAAAGCUCUGUGGGGAGGGACGAACCCCCGGAUGUGCAUAGCAUCCGGCAUGACGGUACCUCCUUAGCAAGCACCGGCUAACUUCGUGCCAGCCGCCGCGGUAACAC